UACAUAGGUGGCAAGCGUUGUCCGGAAUGACUGGGCGUAAAGGGAGCGUAGGCGGUCUGUUAAGUUGGAAGUGAAAUCCCGGGGCUCAACCCCGGAACUGCUUUCAAGACUGACGGACUUGAGUGUAAGAGGGGUAAGCGGAAUUCCUAGUGUAGCGGUGGAAUGCGUAGAUAUUAGGAGGAACACCAGUGGCGAAGGCGGCUUACUGGAUUAUAACUGACGCUGAGGCUCGAAAGCGUGGGUAGCAA
rnacentral:rRNA from 1 species